rnacentral:rRNA from 1 species
UACAGAGGGUGCAAGCGUUAAUCGGAGUUACUGGGCGUAAAGGGUGCGUAGGCGGGUUGGUAAGUCCGUGGUGAAAUCUCCGAGCUUAACUCGGAAACUGCCGUGGAUACUAUCAAUCUUGAAUGUCGUGGAGGUAAGCGGAAUAUGUCAUGUAGCGGUGAAAUGCUUAGAUAUGACAUAGAACACCAAUUGCGUAGGCAGCUUACUACACGAUUAUUGACGCUGAGGCACGAAAGCGUGGGGAGCAAACAGG